UACGUAGGGUGCGAGCGUUGUCCGGAAUUAUUGGGCGUAAAGAGCUCGUAGGCGGCUUGUCGCGUCGGAUGUGAAAGCCCGGGGCUUAACUCCGGGUCUGCAUUCGAUACGGGCAGGCUAGAGUUCGGUAGGGGAGAUCGGAAUUCCUGGUGUAGCGGUGAAAUGCGCAGAUAUCAGGAGGAACACCGGUGGCGAAGGCGGGUCUCUGGGCCGAAAUUGACGCUGAGGAGCGAAAGCGUGGGGAGCGAACAGG
rnacentral:rRNA from 1 species